CUAAGGAUGGUUCUUCAGAAGCUUGCUUCUAUCGAACCGUUUUAGAAACAUCAGUGGCCAACGGUCGUCAGGAUCGUUGAGCUGCAUUGGCGGGAUUUCGCCGUCUUCGUUUCUCUUUCUUCGCGGACGAACACGCGCUGGGGCUGCAACCUUGCAGAAUCCCUGGUCCUUGACUGGAUAUGCGUUAGGGGCUUGUAGCUCAGUUGGUUAGAGCGCGCGCUUGAUAAGCGUGAGGUCGGAAGUUCAAGUCUUCCCAGGCCCACCACACUCAUCGAGUGAGCAUUCGUCUUCUGGUUACGGGGCCAUAGCUCAGCUGGGAGAGCGCGUGCUUUGCAAGCAUGAGGUCGUCGGUUCGAUCCCGUCUGGCUCCACCAGAUGGUUUGAUCACCGGCUGCUCAUACCGUCGUCCGCGAAACAUCACUUCGCACUUACUAGUCCGGAUGGACAGUAAGCUGCGUGAUUUCUGACAUCGUAAAGAGGAGAUCGAUCCGAGUUGGAUCGGGCAACAAGUAAUUGUUGCGCGAUACUUCAUUAUCUCCGGAUCAUUUCGGCGCUCGUGCGUCUUCCAUUGUAGCUCACAACGCUGCUUUGAAAGACAAGCGAGUUGUAAAUGAUCCUUUUAGCGAAGCUUGACCGCCUCGCUAUCGGAACGAUCUUACGAAGCAAGCUGGUCUUUCUAAUCAUUGUCCGGCUGCAGAUAGCGUUCAUCGAGGGCGCGUGCCGCAAGGUAGUUCUGCAGACAACAUUCUGCCGAGUGUGUGGACAUUGAUAAUGAGAGC
rnacentral:tRNA from 1 species